CCCUUAGAUGUUCUGGGCCGCACGCGCGCUACACUGUUCGACGCAGCGAGUCUUAACCUUGACCGAAAGGUUUGGGUAAUCUUCAGCAAAGUCGAACGUGAUGGGGAUCGAUCAUUGCAAUUAUUGAUCGUGAACGAGGAAUUCCUAGUAAGUGCAAGUCAUCAGCUUGCGCUGAUUACGUCCCUGCCCUUUGUACACACCGCCCGUCGCUACUACAGAGUGCCCGUGUCCAAGAAACGGUCGGACCUGUGCGGCCUCUCCGGGCGACCGGAGGGCCGUUACGGGGAAGACCCUUUAUUUGACGCGGGUCGAUGAAGUAAAAGUCGUAACA
rnacentral:rRNA from 1 species